GGCAAUUCUCAGCUUCUGCUUCUGUUGUUCAAAACUCCCCUCAAAUCCAAAACUUCAUUUCCCCCCACAAACUCAUCAAGCUACAUCACAGGUUUCUCUAAAAUCAGCUGAAUCUUCGAGAAAUGGUUUCAUCUCUUUAAGUGAGUCAAUCUCAAGAGCAAGUUUUCUGGCUCUUCUCUCUGCUUCACUCUUCUUUGCUUCAGAUCCUGCUUUAGCCUUUAAAGGCGGAGGCCCUUACGGUGCUGGAGUAACAAGAGGCCAAGAUCUAACAGGGAAGGAUUUUAGUGGUAAAAGUUUAAUCAAACAAGAUUUUAAAACUUCAAUACUCAGACAAGCUAACUUUAAAGGUGCGAAGUUACUCGGAGCUAGCUUCUUUGAUGCCGAUUUAACUGGUGCUGAUCUAUCCGAUGCGGAUCUUAGAGGUGCUGAUUUCUCCUUAGCUAAUGUGACUAAGGUCAAUUUAAGCAAUGCUAAUUUGGAAGGAGCACUUACAACGGGGAAUACAUCUUUCAAGGGUUCCGUUAUACAAGGCGCAGAUUUCACCGAUGUUCCUUUAAGAGAAGAUCAACGAGAAUACCUUUGUAAAUUUGCUGAUGGUUUGAAUACAGUUACUGGGAAUGCAACACGAGAGACAUUGCUUUGCGAAUAGCUUUGUAUAGUGUAAGCUUUGUACUCCUUAUAAUUUUCCCUGAAUAUGAGUCUGGCUAUUCAACCUGUUCAUGAGUUUCCACAUAAACAUCAGCAGUUAGAACCCGUAUUCGGUUUGAUUAUAUUCGAUCAAAUU
rnacentral:misc_RNA from 1 species